rnacentral:rRNA from 1 species
CAGCUAGUUGGCGGGGUAACGGCCCACCAAGGCUUAGAUCGGUAGCCGGCCUGAGAGGGCGCACGGCCACACUGGAACUGAAACACGGUCCAGACUCCUACGGGAGGCAGCAGUGGGGAAUUUUGCGCAAUGGGGGAAACCCUGACGCAGCAACGCCGCGUGGAGGAUGAAGUCCCUUGGGACGUAAACUCCUUUCGACCCGGACGAUAAUGACGGUACGGGUGGAAGAAGCCCCGGCUAACUUCGUGCCAGCAGCCGCGGUAAUACGAGGGGGGCAAGCGUUGUUCGGAAUUAUUGGGCGUAAAGGGCGCGUACGCGGUGCGGUAAGUCACCUGUGAAACCUCUAGGCUCAACCUAGAGCCUGCAGGCGAAACUGCCGUGCUUGAGGGUGGGAGAGGUGCGUGGAAUUCCCGGUGUAGC